rnacentral:rRNA from 1 species
AGAGUUUGAUCCUGGCUCAGAUUGAACGCUGGCGGUAUGCUUUACACAUGCAAGUCGAACGGGCUUGGGGGCUUGCUCCUAGGUUAGUGGCGAACGGGUGAGUAAUAUAUCGGAACAUAUCCGGAAGUGGGGGAUAACGUAGCGAAAGUUACGCUAAUACCGCAUAUGCCCUGAGGGGGAAAGGGGGGGAUCGCAAGACCUCUCGCUUUCGGAGUGGCCGAUACCGGAUUAGCUAGAUGGUGAGGUAAAGGCUCACCAUGGCGACGAUCCGAGCGGGUCUGAGAGGACGACCCGCCACACUGAACUGAGACACGUC